rnacentral:rRNA from 1 species
AACAAACGCUGGCGGCGUGCCUAAUACAUGCAAGUCGAACGGGGUAGCAAUACCUCGUGGCGCACGGGUGAGGAACGCGUGGAUAAUCUGCCUCAGAGUGGGGGAUGACUUGUCGAACGAUUAGCUAAUACCGCAUAAGACCCCAGGAGCUGCGGCUCUCGGGGGCAAAGGUUUGUCGCUCUCAGAUGAGUCCGCGUAAGAUUAGCUAGUUGGCGUGGUAACGGCGCACCAAGGCGACGAUCUUUAACUGGUCUGAGAGGAUGAUCAGUCACACUGGAACUGAGACACGGUCCAGACUCCUACGGGAGGCAGCAGUAGGGAAUAUUGCACAAUGGAGGAAACUCUGAUGCAGCGACGCCGCGUGAGUGAUGAAGGCCUUCGGGUCGUAAAGCUCUGUCGCAGGGGAAUAACACAAUGAAUGUACCCUGUAAGAAAGGAUCGGCUAACUUCGUGCCAGCAGCCGCGGUAAAAC